rnacentral:rRNA from 1 species
AACGGCAGCGCGGGGCAACCUGGCGGCGAGUGGCGAACGGGUGAGUAAUAUAUCGGAACGUACCCUGGAGUGGGGGAUAACGUAGCGAAAGUUACSCUAAUACCGCAUACGAUCUAAGGAUGAAAGUGGGGGAUCGCAAGGCCUCAUGCUCCUGGAGCGGCCGAUAUCUGAUUAGCUAGUUGGUGGGGUAAAGGCCUACCAAGGCAUCGAUCAGUAGCUGGUCUGAGAGGACGACCAGCCMCACUGGAACUGAGACACGGUCCAGACUCCUACGGGAGGCAGCAGUGGGGAAUUUUGGACAAUGGGCGAAAGCCUGAUCCAGCAAUGCCGCGUGAGUGAAGAAGGCCUUCGGGUUGUAAAGCUCUUUUGUCAGGGAAGAAACGGUGGGUUCUAAUACAGCCUGCUAAUGACGGUACCUGAAGAAUAAGCACCGGCUAACUACGUGCCAGCAGCCGCGGUAAUACGUAGGGUGCAAGCGUUAAUCGGAAUUACUGGGCGUAAAGCGUGCGCAGGCGGUUUUGUAAGUCUGUCGUGAAAUCCCCGGGCUCAACCUGGGAAUGGCGAUGGAGACUGCAAGGCUAGAGUUUGGCAGAGGGGGGUAGAAUUCCACGUGUAGCAGUGAAAUGCGUAGAUAUGUGGAGGAACACCGAUGGCGAAGGCAGCCCYCUGGGUCAAGACUGACGCUCAUGCACGAAAGCGUGGGGAGCAAACAGGAUUAGAUACCCUGGUAGUCCACGCCCUAAACGAUGUCUACUAGUUGUCGGGUUUUAAUUAACUUGGUAACGCAGCUAACGCGUGAAGUAGACCGCCUGGGGAGUACGGUCGCAAGAUUAAAACUCAAAGGAAUUGACGGGGACCCGCACAAGCGGUGGAUGAUGUGGAUUAAUUCGAUGCAACGCGAAAAC